CAACAGUGCAAUGUGUGACACAACAGUGCUGAGUGUGACACAACAGUGCUGUGUGUGACACAACAGUGCAAUGUGUGACACAACAGUGCUGAGUGUGACACAACAGUGCUGAGUGUGACACAACAGUGCUGAGUGUGACACAACAGUGCAAUGUGUGACACAACAGUGCUGAAUGUGACACAACAGUGCAAUGUGUGACACAACAGUGCAAAUUCUGACACAACAGUGCUGAGUGUGACACAACAGUGCUG
rnacentral:lncRNA from 1 species